rnacentral:rRNA from 1 species
AUUGAACGCUGGCGGCAUGCCUUACACAUGCAAGUCGAACGGUAACAGGUCUUCGGAUGCCGACGAGUGGCGAACGGGUGAGUAAUACAUCGGAACGUGCCUAGUAGUGGGGGAUAACUACUCGAAAGAGUGGCUAAUACCGCAUGAGAUCUACGGAUGAAAGCAGGGGAUCGCAAGACCUUGUGCUACUAGAGCGGCCGAUGGCAGAUUAGGUAGUUGGUGGAAUAAAAGCUUACCAAGCCGACGAUCUGUAGCUGGUCUGAGAGGACGAUCAGCCACACUGGGACUGAGACACGGCCCAGACUCCUACGGGAGGCAGCAGUGGGGAAUUUUGGACAAUGGGCGCAAGCCUGAUCCAGCAAUGCCGCGUGCAGGAUGAAGGCCUUCGGGUUGUAAACUGCUUUUGUACGGAACGAAAAGCCCCGGGUUAAUACCCUGGGGUCAUGACGGUACCGUAAGAAUAAGCACCGGCUAACUACGUGCCAGCCGCCGCGGUAA